rnacentral:rRNA from 2 species
GUGUUCGCAUCACUUAAGGUGAUUCGAUAGUGUCAGUUCGCUGCCAUCGCGAAGCGAUGGCAAAGCGCUUCCCGAACGUUGAGUCGGGUAGGGCAAGGUGAACGGCCUGAGUCAUUUUAAGGAUGCGAACACGCGGUAGAGGAGCGUCGUGUAAGCCGAUGAAGGUGUGUUGAGAAGCAUGCUGGAGGUAUCACGAGUGCGAAUGCUGACAUGAGUAACGACAAGGGGAGUGAAAAACUCCCCCGCCGGAAGACCAAGGGUUUCUGUUCGACGCUAAUCGGAGCAGAGUGAGUCGGCCCCUAAGGCGAGGCCGAAAGGCGUAGUCGAUGGGAAACGGGUCAAUAUUCCCGUACCUCACAGUAUUGCGAUGGGGGGACGAAGAAGGCUAGGUGAGCCAGGCGUUGGUUGUCCUGGUGAAAGCCGGUAGGCUGAGGAUUCAGGUAAAUCCGGAUCCUUAAGGCCGAGAGGCGAGACGAACUGACUACGGUCAGGAAGUCAUCGAUGCCACGCUUCCAGGAAAAGCCUCUAAGCUUCAGAUACUGUGAGACCGUACCCCAAACCGACACAGGUGGUCAGGUAGAGAAUACCAAGGCGCUUGAGAGAACUCGGGUGAAGGAACUAGGCAAAAUGGUGCCGUAACUUCGGGAGAAGGCACGCCGCAUUAGGGUGAAGGUCCUCGCGACCGGAGCCUGACGCGGUCGAAGAUACCAGGUGGCUGCAACUGUUUAUUAAAAACACAGCACUCUGCAAACGCGCAAGCGGACGUAUAGGGUGUGACGCCUGCCCGGUGCCGGAAGGUUAAGUGAUGGUGUUAGCUCACGCGAAGCUCCUGAUCGAAGCCCCGGUAAACGGCGGCCGUAACUAUAACGGUCCUAAGGUAGCGAAAUUCCUUGUCGGGUAAGUUCCGACCUGCACGAAUGGCGUAAUGAUGGCCACGCUGUCUCCACCCGAGACUCAGUGAAAUUGAAAUCGCAGUGAAGAUGCUGUGUACCCGCGGCUAGACGGAAAGACCCCGUGAACCUUUACUACAGCUUCACACUGGACGCUGAUGUUGCUUGUGUAGGAUAGCUGGGAGGCUUUGAAACCCUGUCGCCAGAUGGGGUGGAGCCAACCUUGAAAUACCAGCCUGGCAUCAUUGGCGUUCUAACUCAGGACCGUAAUCCGGUUCGAGGACCGUGUGUGGUGGGUAGUUUGACUGGGGCGGUCUCCUCCCAAAGAGUAACGGAGGAGCACGAAGGUACCCUCAGCACGGUUGGAAAUCGUGCAGUGAGUGCAAGAGCAUAAGGGUGCUUAACUGCGAGACAGACACGUCGAGCAGAUACGAAAGUAGGUUCUAGUGAUCCGGUGGUUCUGUAUGGAAGGGCCAUCGCUCAACGGAUAAAAGGUACUCCGGGGAUAACAGGCUGAUACCGCCCAAGAGUUCACAUCGACGGCGGUGUUUGGCACCUCGAUGUCGGCUCAUCACAUCCUGGGGCUGAAGUCGGUCCCAAGGGUAUGGCUGUUCGCCAUUUAAAGUGGUACGCGAGCUGGGUUUAGAACGUCGUGAGACAGUUCGGUCCCUAUCUGCCGUGGGCGUUGGAGAUUUGAGAAGCGCUGCUCCUAGUACGAGAGGACCGGAGUGGACGUACCUCUGGUGUUCCGGUUGUCACGCCAGUGGCAUUGCCGGGUAGCUAUGUACGGACGGGAUAACCGCUGAAAGCAUCUAAGCGGGAAGCCCCCUUCAAGAUGAGAUCUCCCUGAGGCCUUGAGCCUCCUAAAGGACCCAGCAAGACCAGCUGGUUGAUAGGCCGGGUGUGGAAGCGCUGCAAGGCGUUGAGCUAACCGGUACUAAUGGUCCGUGAGGCUUGACCAU